rnacentral:rRNA from 1 species
UACGGGGGGGGCAAGCGUUGUUCGGAAUUACUGGGCGUAAAGGGCUUGUAGGUGGCCAACUAAGUCAGACGUGAAAUCCCUCGGCUUAACCGGGGAACUGCGUCUGAUACUGGAUGGCUUGAGUGUGGGAGAGGGAUGCGGAAUUCCAGGUGUAGCGGUGAAAUGCGUAGAUAUCUGGAGGAACACCGGUGGCGAAGGCGGCAUCCUGGACCGGCAUUGACGCUGAACAGCGAAAGCCAGGGGAGCAAACGGG